CCUACGGGAGGCAGCAGUCGAGAAUCAUUCACAAUGGGGGAAACCCUGAUGGUGCGACGCCGCGUGGGGGAAUGAAGGUCUUCGGAUUGUAAACCCCUGUCAUGUGGGAGCAAAUUAUAAAGAUAGUACCACAAGCGGAAGAGACGGCUAACUCUGUGCCAGCAGCCGCGGUAAUACGGAGGGUGCAAGCGUUGUCCGGAAUCAUUGGGCGUAAAGAGUUCGUAGGUGGGAAAUUAAGUCUGGUGUUAAAUGGAGAAGCUCAACUUCUGUUCGGCACUGGAUACUGGUAAGCUUGAAUGCGGUGGAGGUAAAGGGAAUUCCUGGUGUAGCGGGGAAAUGCGUAGAUAUCAGGAGGAACAUCAGUGGCGUAAGCGCUUUACUGGGCCGUAAUUGACACUGAGGAACGAAAGCCGGGGUAGCAAAUGGGAUUAGAUACCCUAGUAGUC
rnacentral:rRNA from 1 species